GCUGGGUGUGGUGGUGCACACCUAUAAUCCCAGAUACUCGGGAGGCUGAGACAGGAGAAUCGCUUGAACCCAGGAUGUGGAGGCUGCAGUGAGCUGAGAUUGUGCCACUGCACUCCAGCCUGGGUGACAGAGUGAGACUCUGUCUCAA
ensembl:misc_RNA Metazoa_SRP Metazoan signal recognition particle RNA